rnacentral:rRNA from 1 species
UACAGAGGGGGCAAGCGUUGUUCGGAAUUACUGGGCGUAAAGGGCGCGUAGGCGGCCUGCUAAGUCGAACGUGAAAUCCCUGGGCUCAACCCCGGGAACUGCGUCCGAUACUGGAAGGCUUGAAUCCGGGAGAGGGAUGCGGAAUUCCAGGUGUAGCGGUGAAAUGCGUAGAUAUCUGGAGGAACACCGAUGGCGAAGGCAGCCUUCUGGGCCAACACUGACACUCAUGCACGAAAGCGUGGGGAGCAAACAGGG